rnacentral:rRNA from 1 species
UACGUAGGGGGCAAGCGUUGUCCGGAAUUACUGGGCGUACAGCGCGCGCAGGCGGUUGCCGACGUGCCGUGUGACAAACGGGGGCUCAACCCCCGAGGGCCACGGUAAACGGGGCGACUGGAGGAAGGGAGAGGGAUGUGGAAUGCCCGGUGGAGCGGUGAAAUGGCGUAGAGAAUCGGGCGGAACACCAGCGGCGAAGGCGGCAUCCUGGCCCUU